UGGUGUGUUAUAUUUCUCCGCUGUAUAAAACUCAAAACAUCAUGUACAUUUUCGUUUCCAUCUCCUUCAGUGUUUGGUUUGUACAAAUCACAAUCAAUGUACAAUUUGUCUCUUACCAUACGUACUUUUCUUUUUUUUUCUUUUCUUGCCUGUUUUGCAACUGGGUAUAAGUUUUUCGUUGUUGUGCGAUUUCUUUUGGAAAUUGUUCUUUAACUCCGAAAUGUGUCUCUUUUAAUUUGUAUCCAUUUUUUAGCACAAUUUCUUUGUCCUUAAUUGAUACAAAUUUUGCUAAUAUCGGACGAUUACCUCUGCGACCUCUUUUUUCCGAAUCGAUGGACGCAUACGAAGUUGACUCUUUUGUCAAUAUUCAACUUUUGUUUGAUAAAAGAAUUAAGUUUAUCCUCAGUGUUUUCUUCUGGGUGAAAUUGGAUGCCAGUAAAGAUGAGGUUGGUUUUCAUAGAGCGCCACUUGAGCUCUGUCGCAUCAUCUUCCAUAUUACACAAUUUAGAAUCUAUUUUUUCACUAUGAUCUUUAUGUUGUAAUACUGCAGUUUCCAAGGUUGUGAUGUUUGAAAUGUUCUCUUUACAUCGAUCUACUUCUUUGUGCAUUACAUGACCAAUGUUUUCAACGCUCCCCUCAAUUUCAUUGCUUUUAUUCAUUGCACAUUCGAGGUGCUUUUCAACAUAGUUAAAUUUUUCGACGAGUAAAUUCACCGUGGAUUGCAUAACAUUUAUCUUCUCCAUUUGCUGUUCAAAUUUGACAAAUCGAUGCUGAAGAUCUUGCACAACUUGUAAUAAACUGUCAAGAAUCGUAGCAGUUUUGGUGUCAAAACA
rnacentral:lncRNA from 1 species